CAGUGCAAGUCCGAGCGGAUGCAAGGCGUAGCUUGCUCCUGGGAUUCAGUCGGCGGACGGGUGAGUAAUGCCUAGGAAUCUGCCUGGUAGUGGGGGAUAACGUCCGGAAACGGGCGCUAAUACCGCAUACGUCCUGAGGGAGAAAGUGGGGGAUCUUCGGACCUCACGCUAUCAGAUGAGCCUAGGUCGGAUUAGCUAGUUGGUGGGGUAAAGGCCUACCAAGGCGACGAUCCGUAACUGGUCUGAGAGGAUGAUCAGUCACACUGGAACUGAGACACGGUCCAGACUCCUACGGGAGGCAGCAGUGGGGAAUAUUGGACAAUGGGCGAAAGCCUGAUCCAGCCAUGCCGCGUGUGGGAGGAAGGUCUUCGGAUUGUAAAGCACUUUAAGUUGGGAGGAAGGGCAGUAAGUUAAUACCUUGCUGUUUUGACGUUACCAACAGAAUAAGCACCGGCUAACUUCGUGCCAGCAGCCGCGGUAAUACGAAGGGUGCAAGCGUUAAUCGGAAUUACUGCCCGUAAAGCGCGCGUAGGUGGUUCAGCAAGUUGGAUGUGAAAUCCCCGGGCUCAACCUGGGAACUGCAUCCAAGACUACUGAGCUAGAGUACGGUAGAGGGUGGUGGCAAUUUCCUGUCUAGCGCUGAAAUGCGUAGAUAUAGGGAGGGAACACCAGUGGCGAAGGCAACCACCUUGGACUGAUACUGACACUGAGGUGCGAAACGCUAGCGGAGCAAACAGGGAUUAGAUAGCCUGGUAGUCCACUCCGUAAACGAUGUCGACUAGCCGUUGGGCAUCCUUUAACAUCUUAGUGGCGCCGUUAACGGGAUAAGUCGACUGCUUGGGGAUUACGGCCGUCAAGGCUCAAAACUUUAACGAAACUGACUGGGGGCCCCCAACAAGCGGUGGGGUUAUGGGGGUUUAAAUUCCAAAAUAACCCCGAGAACCCUUU
rnacentral:rRNA from 1 species